UGAGGAACAUGACUUUCGGCGGGGGAUAGCCGGCCCAACGGCCGGGUAAUACCGCGUACGACCUCUCGGGGACAUCCCCGGUUGGUGAAAGCAGCAAUGCACCGAAAGAGUGCCUCGCGGCCUAUCAGCUAGUUGGGUGGGGUAACGGCUCACCAAGGCGACGACGGGUAGCUGGUCUGAGAGGAUGGCCAGCCACAGUUGGGACUGAGACACGGCCCAGACCUCCGUACGGGGAGCAG
rnacentral:rRNA from 1 species